CGCGGGGUAGAGCAGCUUGGUAGCUCGUCGGGCUCAUAACCCGGAGGUCGAAGGUUCAAAUCCUUCCCCGCAACCA
rnacentral:tRNA from 1 species